AUUGAACGCUGGCGGCAGGCCUAACACAUGCAAGUCGAGCGAGUGGCGGACGGGUGAGUAAUGUCUGGGAAACUGCCCGCUGGAGGGGGAUAACUACUGGAAACGGUGGCUAAUACCGCAUACUAUCGGAUGAACCCAUAUGGGAUUAGCUAGUAGGUGGGGGACAGGCUCACCUAGGCGACGAUCCCUAGCUGGUCUGAGAGGAUGACAAGCCAAACGGGAACUGAGACACGGCCCAGAAUCCUACGGGAGGCAGCAGUGGGGAAUAUUGCACAAUGGGCGCAAGCCUGAUGCAGCCAUGCCGCGUGUAUGAAGAAGGCCUUAGGGUUGUAAAGUACUUUCAGCGGGGAGGCGUUACCCGCAGAAGAAGCACCGGCUAACUCCGUGCCAGCAGCCGGGGAAUUC
rnacentral:rRNA from 1 species